rnacentral:lncRNA from 1 species
UCCCUUUGACUUGGGUGAAGUUGUCUGAGAACGGGACAUAGUCAUACGCUUUUAAUCCCUAAUUUUUGCCUGGACCGCCUUUUCAGGUUUUCAGUCCACCAGGAUACCCUUUUUUGCCCAAGCCGCCUUUUCAGGUUUUCGACUUGCCGGGUGUACAUUUUUAUAUGUUUAUCCCUAAUUUUUGCCCGAACCCUUUUGGUUCGCCGGGAUGCCCUUACUUUUGCCUAGAUACGUCGACCUAGCGGGUCUC